AUUGAACGCUGGCGGCAGGCUUAAUACAUGCAAGUCGAGGGGCAGCUUGAUUGUAGCAAUACAAUUGAUGGCGACCGGCAAACGGGUGCGGAACACGUACACAACCUUCCAACAAGUGGGGGAUAGCCCAGAGAAAUUUGGAUUAAUACCCCGUAACAUAGCGAUGUGGCAUCACAUUGCUAUUAUAGAUUUUUCGCUUGUUGAUGGGUGUGCGGCUGAUUAGAUAGUUGGCGGGGUAACGGCCCACCAAGUCUACGAUCAGUAGCUGAUGUGAGAGCAUGAUAAGCCACACGGGCACUGGGACACGGGCCCGACUCCUACGGGAGGCAGCAGUAAGGAAUAUUGGACAAUGGACGCAAGUCUGAUCCAGCCAUGCCGCGUGAAGGAUUAAGGUCCUCUGGAUUGUAAACUUCUUUUAUAAGGGACGAAAAAAGGCUUUUCUAAGUCGUCUGACGGUACCUUAUGAAUAAGCACCGGCUAACUCCGUGCCAGCCGCCGCAGUAACAC
rnacentral:rRNA from 1 species